UGGCUCAGAACGAACGCUGGCGGCGCGUUUAAGCAUGCAAGUCGAGCGGCAGGGGGCUUCGGUCCCCCGAGAGCGGCGGACGGGUGAGUAACACGUGGACAACCUGCCCCCCGGUUCGGGAUAGCCCAGGGAAACCUGGAUCAAUACCGGAUGCGAGGGCGGCCGCACAAGCGGCCGUCGGGAAAGGCGCUUCGGCGCCGCCGGGGGAUGGGUCCGCGUCCCAUUAGCUAGACGGUGGGGUAACGGCCCACCGUGGCGAUGAUGGGUAGCCGGCCUGAGAGGGUGGACGGCCACAUUGGAACUGAGACACGGUCCAGACUCCUACGGGAGGCAGCAGCUAAGAAUCUUCCGCAAUGGGCGAAAGCCUGACGGAGCGACGCCGCGUGAACGAAGAAGGCCGUGAGGUUGUAAAGUUCUUUUCGGGAGGGGGAACGAGGCUGCCAGGCAAUGGGCGGCCGAUGACGUGAAUCCCGGAAUAAGCCCCGGCUAACUACGUGCCAGCCGCUGC
rnacentral:rRNA from 1 species